rnacentral:lncRNA from 1 species
AAUUUUUUUAGAAAAUUUUUAGGAGCAUAAAAUGCCAAGAAAGUGUAAAAAAGUAUUUAAAACACAAUAAAAAAGCAAUUAAAAAAAAAACUCAGCAGGAUAUAAUCUGGACCGUUGGAUGAAUCCAGAGGUCCAGAUCUAACUCCCAAGAUCUCAUCACAGCCACUGGAUCAAAGAUCCAAGGGUUUAAAAAAACACAAAAAGAUAGUGUAAAAUUGCAGGAAGCACAAUGACCGUUAGAUCAAAGAUCUAACGGUUCAAACAGAAGAUAUACCAUAUUUCACACAGAAGAUCACACACAUGAUUCAAGAUCAAAACACACAGCAGCCAUCAGAUCUUGGAACAAUCCAGAUCUGAUGGUUCACAACACGAGGGAGCACAACAAGAGCACGCACGCGCGCGCGUGGGAACGGAGGAGCUAUAUAAGGAAAACUCACACAAAAAACUCACAAAAACAAAACUCCUUCUCUCUCUAAGUCACACUUAGAGAGAGAAGCUCUCCCCUCUCUCUAAAGCAGUUCGCCGGAGAAGAAGGAGGAAGAAGCUCCGGCGCGGCGGCCGGCCGGUUUCCGGCGGCGGCGCCACCGCGCCGGAAAAAUCAAACUACUUUUUUUUUCAAAAUUUUUAUACCAAAAGCUUCGUCUCCUCCUCCUCUACACAAAUCCGGCACUAGUUUUAGAAAGGGCUGAGAGAUUUGAGCUAGAUCUACACUUGAACUUCGAAAAAAAUUUCACACUUUUUUGAAAAAUAACUACGGAUCUAGAUAUCCUUUUCUCUCUAGAGUCCGAAUCCGGCCUCAAAAUUUUCAAAAUCCGAACACAAAAGCCUAGAUCUACAAAUCUUUAUCCGUAACAAACUUUUUCACAUGCAAUUUCAAGCAAGAAACGCGCGGAAAUGGCUUAGAAAGGAAGGAGAAACGCGUUACCUCUGUCGUAGAACGGAGAAAAAAGAUAUUCGGAAAACUUCGAAUCUCUCCUCUUCUCUUUCGCGCGCGCUAUAGCCUCCGUUGGUGUUGUUUUUGCUCGAAAAUCCGGUACGAUUUUGGUGUUGAUGUGAUGAUUCGAGGUGGUUUUGAGUGAAUCCGGUUCGGAUUCGUUGAUUUGGUGAUGAUCGGAGUUGGUUUUGAGCAGAUCUGGUUCGGAUCUGUUGAUUUGGUGAUGAUUUGUUCUUGGUGUUCUUCCCUCUUUUCUGAGAUUUUUUGUGUUUGAUUCUGUUAGGAUGAGAGAGAAAACGAAAUUCUGUUUGUGAGUUGGCACUGUUUUUUUUUGAUUGAUCUGACACGUUUACUAUUUAUAGCCUGCCAUGUGUAUCUGAGAACCAAUGAAAAAAUGACAUCUGUUUUGGGACUGAUGUGGAUCGAAAAUCUGGACUAAAAUGCCCCUGGGACCUUUCUGCAAAAUAAAAAACUUGAAGGACUGGACAGCAAUAAAAAAUGGACUAAAUUUUUUUUUAAAGUUUUGGACUAAAAUGCAAAUUAAAAUAAAAUUGGAUUAAAAUUGGUAAUUUGAAAAAAAACGUAAAGUGAAACAAAAAAUAAAAUCAACAAAAUGACUAAAACGAACCAAUUACUGACAUGAAGUAUUUUAAAAUACCUCCCUGCCGAAAUUUUGACAGGAAAAGACCAAAAUGCCCCUAGGGA